rnacentral:rRNA from 1 species
AUGAUGCCUGAUGAUACCAAGUCCCUCCUUUUGUUUCUGCUCUUGAGCUGCUCAUCAUUGUGUUUUGGUUCUGAACCUGAUAUCCGGUGCCUGAUGUCUAUACAACGAUCAGUUAUUGAUCUCAGAGGCAUACUCAAAUCCUCAUGGAAUUUUGCCAAUAGCACCAACGGUUUUGUAUGCCAAUUUACUGGCGUGGAAUGUUGGCACCCCGACGAGAACAAGGUUUACGCUUUGCGUCUCGGCAACCUAGGGCUUGAGGGCCCAUUUCCUGAAGGUCUUCAACAUUGUACAAGCUUGAGCAUGCUGGACCUGUCAAGCAACAAUUUUUCAGGACUGAUCCCUGCCGAGAUCUCAUGGCAGCUGUCGUAUCUGUCAUCUCUAGAUCUUUCGUUCAAUAAAUUUUCAGGUGAAAUCCCAGAUAGUAUCGCAAAUCUGAGGAAUCUGAAUGCCCUCAACCUUCAGCACAACCAACUAAGUGGCCCAAUUCCUUCCUCGGUAUGGAAGUUUGAUGCUUCAUACUUUGCUGGAAACCAGGAGCUUUGUGGUACACCAUUGGACAAGUGUCCCAGGAGGAGGAGAUGGAGAGUGAGAUGA